rnacentral:sRNA from 1 species
AGAGCAACCAGGGAAGGGACGAAAUGUCUGAAGGUAGAAAUGAAUUGCAUUAGGAUUUAUUUUAAUGCAGCCUGGAAACCCACAACUUUAAAUCUCUGGGCUAUUUAAGGAGAUCCCACACCUUUCCUUGGAGGGAAAAAGAAAAAGAGGAUUGAAAAAUAUACAGACUACAGCUAUCUUUAAUGUUUGAGUUAGCUAUCAGGAAACUCGAAAUAGUGAAUGUAAUAAAAUGUUGACAGCAGUUUCACUUAACAUGCGGUAACUCUGGACUAGAACGACAUCUUUGGCACCUACGGAAAUCGAGAGAAUAAAAGCAGCAGUCGUCAGGAUUUGAAGGAAGCCACAGAUUAUUACCAUGUGUACAUUUUACAGACCUCUUGCAAAAACCAGAAACCCAGGACCCAGACUGGAGUGUGAUGUAUCACCCAUCAGUAUGUCUCCCAUCAGUCAGUCUCAGUUUAUUCCACUCGGGGAGAUCCUCUGCUUGGCCAUCUCA